AGUAGUAGUACAACCUAAAGUUUUCAUAUCUGGAACUCAAGCCAGUGUCCAAGUGUGCACUCCCAUCAAACCGUUUAAGCUCACCUAUCGAACUGACGGCCAAGAAACUGCGGUGACUGAGGACCUUACGACAAAUACCGUUCGAGCUUUGGCCGACGUUGGCAACACUGGAUUUUGCCUCGACUACCAAGAAAGAUAAGAAAUCCGGCGGAAUACAUUUGGAAAAAGUUGUUGGACGUUUUCUUUCGGCGAUCGAGACCACAAUCAAUUAAUUUAUACAUGCAUGUAGUCGGAUUUAGAACAUACUAUUGUUUUGAGAAUUGAAAUCAAAUUUUAUUAUUAUGUACCGGGAUCAACCCUAUUCUGAAAAAAUAAAUUAAUUCGAUAUAGAA